rnacentral:rRNA from 1 species
AGCAGCCGCGGUAAUUCCAGCUCCAAUAGCGUAUAUAAAAGUUGUUGCAGUUAAAAAGCUCGUAGUUGAAUUUCGGGAUUAGUACGUCGGUCGUGCCUUCGGUACGUACUGGUGUUACUGAUUCCUACCUUCUGACGAACCAUCAUGUCAUUAAUUUGGUGUGGCGGGGAAUCAGGACUGUUACUUUGAAAAAAUUAGAGUGUUUAAAGCAGGCUCGCGCUUGAAUACAUUACCAUGGAAUAAUGAAAUAGGACGUUGACCCUAUUUUGUUGGUUUCUAGGAUUGACGUAAUGAUUAAUAGGGAUAGUUGGGGGCAUUAGUAUUCAUUUGUCAGAGGUGAAAUUCUUGGAUUUAUUGAAAACUAACUACUGCGAAAGCAUUUGCCAAGGAUGUUUUCAUUAAUCAAGAACGAAAGUUAGGGGAUCGAAAACGAUCAGAUACCGUCGUAGUCUUAACCAUAAACUAUGCCAACGAGGGAUCGGAUGAUGUUAUUUUUAAUGACUCAUUCCGCGCCCUACG